GUGAAUAUUAAAGGAAGCAGAUGAAUUCAUGACAAAAUUGUGUUUUGGUGAUGGUGAUGUGUUUGUACAUCUUACUUUACUGAACAUUCUUGCUGCUUAAAAUUAUCUCUAUCUAUAAUGAACUUGGCCAUUAGUUUCAGUGGAAAAUGUUAGUAAAAAUUUACAAAUUUUAUGAAAAUUGUUAAAAAUUGACUAUAAAGAACAAUAACUCCUAAGGGGGUCAAUUGACCAUUUUGGUCAUGUUGACUUAUUUGUAAAUCUUACUUUGCUGAACAUUAUUGUUGUUUACAGUUUAUCUCUAUCAAUAAUAAUAUUCAAGAUAAU
rnacentral:lncRNA from 1 species